GUACUGGGUGGAGGUAAACUAGAACGGUGACUAAGGUUCAGGGCAGGGUACUGGGUGGAGGUAAACUAGAAUGGUGACUAAGGUUCAGGGCAGGGUACCGGGUGGAGUUAACUAGAAUGGUGACUAAGGUUUAGGGCAGGGUACUGGGUGGAGGUAAACUAGAACAGUAACUAAGGUUCAGUGCAGGGUACUGGGUGGAGGUAAACUAGAACGGUGACUAAGGUUAAGGGCAGAGUACUGGGUGGAGGUCAGCUAGAACAGUGACUAAGGUUUAGGGCAGGGUACUGGGUGGAGAUCAGCUAGAACAGUGACUAAGGUUCAGGGCAGGGUACCGUGUUGAGGUAAACUAGGACAGUGACUAAGGUUCAGGGCAGGGUACCGGGUGGAGAUAAACUAGAACGGUGACUAGGUUCAGGGCAGGGUACCGGGUGGAGGUAAACUAGAACGGUGACUAAGGUUCAGGGCAGGGUAUCGGGUUGUGGUAAACUAGAACAGUGACUUAGGUUCAGGGCAGGGUACUGGGUGGAGGUCAGCUAGAAUAGUGACUAAGGUUCAGGGCAGGGUACCGGGUGGAGGUAAACUAGAAUGGUGACUAAGGUUCA